AUCUAAUAAAUAAAUAGUUUAUCAAUGAAAACAUUUAAUUAAUUUCUUAUCUAUCUACCAUAAUUAUGCAGAUAAAAUAACGUAUAAAGAAAUUCGAACAUAACGACAGAGUCAUUUUUCUCAAGGACUUUUUUGACGGUCAAGAUGAAGCUCACGGGCACUGUGGGUAGAGCAUGGGGAAACAUUGGCCAUGUCAACAGGAUGGUCAAGUUUGGAACUUCGCCGUAUGAAACGAGAGCAUUUCCCUCAAUCAUGCAAAAGCCAUACAGUGUAUUUCUCCGGUUUAGGAGACAAACCUUGCUUGUUAUUCCCCCUCUAUACCUUACGUAUAUGGCAUACAAAUACCUGCAAGUGGAGAGUCACAGAUUUCGCAGCAAGGAUCCCGCCGAGUUUGCAAAUGACCAAUAGACUAUUGACACUCCUCAUACACUCUGCUAAUUGGUCAAGUGAAAAUCACCAUACAUGUGACAUGGCACUUCGUGUUUAUAUUCCAUCAGAAAAGUUGAAAAAAAAAUUUCAUUGUGUUAAAGCACUAUUUUAUUGAUGUAAGGUAAAUUAUGUAAAGAAAAUCUCUUGUUAAAAUGAUGUGAAGUGAAGAGUCUUAUCUAUUGGAGUGUAUUUAUUUGAAUUCAAAAUUUAGUUGUGAUAUAAAUAAAAUAUACAAAAAAACAAGACUUGUUUCCAAUUGCUGGUUUAUAAUACUUGUCAAGAACAGAAAAUUGUAAACAGUAAUACAUUAAACUGUACAGCAUUAUGGCAGUACUCAACAUUCAUUAAAAUCCACAAAGACAAA